ACCCAGUUGGAGCUUCCCGGCUGCUUUGUUUACCUAAGCAAGCCUGGGCAAUGGUGGGCGCCCCUCCCCCAGCCUCGCAGCCGCCUUGCAGUUUGAUCUCAGACUGCUGUGCUAGCCAUCAGCGAGACUCCGUGGGCGUAGGACCCUCCGAGCCAGGUGUGGGAUAUAGUCUCGUGGUGCGCCGGUUUUUAAGCUGGUCUGAAAAGCGCAAUAUUCAGGUGGGAGUGACCCGAUUUUCCAGUCUUUUUCUGGAGGAAGAGCAAUCAAGUUUGUGGCCACAGAGAUGCUGGUGGGAUGGACAUGGUUCUGGAUCUGAGCUCUAAUCACAAUUGCAGCAGCUGCACCCAGAGGACCAGUGCUGGAUCCCCACUCUGGGGAAGGCAAUGGCUGUGCACCCUGGAGCUCAUGUUCACUGGGGAUCUGCAGGUGGAGCUGGAGUUGGGGUACAGCAAAGUUCUGCUGCCACAGAGGAAGGGGAACCUGGCCGUGUUCAUCGCGCCACAGGGGGACAGCCUCCGAGUUCUCAAGCAGCUUUUUAAUGUGUAUUUCCGAUGAUGUAGAGGACAGAAGAGGCAACAGGUCAUUGUGAUGGUGGCUGUCGUGGACACAGGCUGGAAGGUGAACUCAAAGCUCUUUACCCUCAAAGCGGAUCUCUGGCAAGAGGCAAGAACAGGUUUUAAGAAAAGAAGUGAAAUAGGAAGAAGGACUAACACAGAUGACUUUUCCAACUCCAAGACCUGCAUUGCUCUCUUCCCAACUUUUGUUCAUUCAGCUGCACCAGUAAGCAUUCCACUUUGAUGAAUGGAUUGAACAUCAAAUACCACAGCUAAGCCAUGUCAUGUGUCUGGAAGACAGAAUAUGGAUUUCAUGUAUUUCUACUUUCUUCUUAAACAAGCAGCUUAUUCCCUUCCUUUUACCAAAGGUAGAAAAAAAAUAAACUAGAUUUUUUUAAGCAUAAAAUUAGGUGGUUGUUCUUUUGUUCAAUCCAAUGGAAUAAUAUAUUUAAACUAUUAUACUGCUGAUUUAAAGGUAUAUCAUAAUUAUACCCCUAGAACAUACAAGACAUUGGCCACUGUCCCAAAGAGAUAUCAAGAAUAACCCAUAUGCCCAAGUUAUCCAAAUUCUAUGCUUCUUUAUUCUCCAGAUUCCCUGGAUAGAUCAACUGGGUUAGGGAGACUCAUGGGGCCAUUUCUACAGGAGAAAACAGAGACUCCAUUUUCUGGGUGUCAUUUCACUUUCCACCUGCCGCAUGGAGCUGUUGAUGCCACAUCUGCCAGAAUGGUGUUCAGGUUUCUGGCACCUGCCAUGUUUAGGGAUGUUCAGAUUCUUAUCUCUGCUCUCUCCAGUCCAGAGAAGAUAAAAAUAGGGCAAGUGAGCCUGCACCAACAUAGUCUAAGCCUUGCUUCUCGGGUUCUC
rnacentral:lncRNA from 1 species